GGGGGGAGACCUGUGGAUUCUCUCCGAGAUUUGGACUCUACUCGGCAUCAUAAACCAGCAACCUCCCGUCUCUUGUCAGCCCUCGAAGAAUAGCGACGACGCUUGUAAUUGUUCAAAGGGACCCGGUUCGUCGUGAAAAAUGGAUUGCACGGGUGCAAAGGACGAAACCUUCGUGGGUUCGAAAUGACAAGUGCCACUACAUGUUUUCAAUGGCGAAUGUCCCAGUGUGACGACUGGUGAUGACGUUGCAGGCAAUAUGGCGACCACUUGGAUGUCGAGUGAGACUUCUGCAACUUUACGCAUG